rnacentral:rRNA from 1 species
UUCGCAAUGCCCGAAAGGGUGACGAAGCGACGCCGCGUGCGGGAAGAAGGCCCUAGGGUUGUAAACCGCUGUCAGGAGUUAAGAAAUAUAGAGGUGUUAAUAGCGCUUCUAUUUGACGAAAGCUCCAGAGGAAGCCACGGCUAACUCUGUGCCAGCAGCCGCGGUAAUACAGAGGUGGCAAGCGUUGUUCGGAAUUAUUGGGCGUAAAGAGCACGUAGGCGGCCCUGCAAGUCAGUUGUGAAAGCCUUCCGCUUAACGGGAGAACGGCAGCUGAUACUACGGGGCUAGAGUACGGGAGGGGAGAGUGGAACUUCUGGUGGAGCGGUGAAAUGCGUAGAUAUCAGAGGGAACGCCGGCGGCGAAAGCGACUCUCUGGACCGAAACUGACGCUGAGUGUGCGAAAGCUAGGGGAGUAAACGGGAUUAGAUACCCCGGUAGUCUUAGCCGUAAACGAUGGGCACUAAGUAGAGGGGUUUUGAUUAUCUCUCUGCCGGAGCUAACGCAUUAAGUGCCCCGCCUGGGGAGUACGGCCGCAAGGCUAAAACUCAAAAGAAUUGACGGGGGCUCGCACGAGCGGUGGAGCAUGUGGCUUAAUUCGAUGCAACGCGAAGAACCUUACCGGGGCUUGACAUGAUAGAAGUAGAAACCCGAAAGGACGACGAACGGUAUCCAAUCUGUAACUAUCGCAGGUGUUGCAUGGCUGUCGUCAGCUCGUGUCGUGAGACGUUGGGUUAAGUCCCCUAACGAGCGAAACCCUUGUCUUUAGUUGCCAUCAGGUUAAGCUGGGCACUCUAAAGAGACUGCCGUCGUUAAGACGGAGGAAGGUGGGGAUGACGUCAAGUCAUCAUGGCCCUUAUGUCCCGGGCUGCACACGUGCUACAAUGGUCGAUACAAAGGGAUGCAAAAUCGUGAGAUGGAGCGAAACCCAUAAAGUCGAUCCCAGUUCAGAUUGGAGGCUGAAACUCGCCUCCAUGAAGUAGGAAUCGCUAGUAAUCGCGGAUCAGCCUCGCCGCGGUGAAUAUGUUCCCGAGCCUUGUACACACCGCCCGUG